UAUGACUCUCGACAACGGAUAUCUUGGCUCUUGCAUCGAUGAAGAACGCAGCGAAAUGCGAUAAGUGGUGUGAAUUGCAGAAUCCCGUGAACCAUCGAGUCUUUGAACGCAAGUUGCGCCCGAUGCCAUCAGGCUAAGGGCACGCCUGCCUGGGCGUCGUGU
rnacentral:rRNA from 3 species